rnacentral:rRNA from 1 species
UACGGGGGGGAGCAAGCGUUGUUCGGAAUUACUGGGCGUAAAGGGCUCGUAGGCGGCCAACUAAGUCAGACGUGAAAUCCCUCGGCUUAACCGGGGAACUGCAUCUGAUACUGGAUGGCUUGAGUUCGGGAGAGGGUCGCGGAAUUCCCGGUGUAGAGGUGAAAUUCGUAGAUAUCGGGAGGAACACCGGUGGCGAAGGCGGCGACCUGGGUCGACACUGACGCUGAGGCGCGAAAGCGUGGGGAGCAAACAGG